AUUGAACGCUGGCGGCAUGCCUUACACAUGCAAGUCGAACGGCAGCACGGGGCAACCUGGUGGCGAGUGGCGAACGGGUGAGUAAUGCAUCGGAACGUACCUUUCAGUGGGGGAUAACGUAGCGAAAGUUACGCUAAUACCGCAUAUUCUGUGAGCAGGAAAGCAGGGGAUCGCAAGACCUUGCGCUGAUUGAGCGGCCGAUGUCAGAUUGGCUAGUUGGUGAGGUAAAGGCUCACCAAGGCGACGAUCUGUAGCGGGUCUGAGAAGAUGAUCCGCCACACUGGAACUGAGACACGGUCCAGACUCCUACGGGAGGCAGCAGUGGGGAAUUUUGGACAAUGGGGGCAACCCUGAUCCAGCCAUGCCGCGUGAGUGAAGAAGGCCUUCGGGUUGUAAAGCUCUUUCGGCCGGGAAGAAAUCGCACGGGCUAAUACCCUGUGUGGAUGACGGUACCGGAAUAAGAAGCACCGGCUAACUACGUGCCAGCAGCCGCGGUAAUAC
rnacentral:rRNA from 1 species